rnacentral:rRNA from 1 species
AGAGUUUGAUCCUGGCUCAGAUUGGACGCUGGCGGCAUGCUUAAGACAUGCAAGUCGAACGGUAACGGGCGGAAGCUUGCUUCUGCGCUGACGAGUGGCGGACGGGUGAGUAAUGCAUAGGAAUCUGCCCAGUAGUGGGGGACAACACGGAGAAAUUCGUGCUAAUACCGCAUACGCCCUACGGGGGAAAGCGGGGGACCUUCGGGCCUCGCGCUAUUGGAUGAGCCUAUGUCAGAUUAGCUUGUUGGUGGGGUAACGGCCUACCAAGGCAACGAUCUGUAGCUGGUCUGAGAGGAUGAUCAGCCACACUGGAACUGAGACACGGUCCAGACUCCUACGGGAGGCAGCAGUCGGGAAUAUUGCACAAUGGGCGCAAGCCUGAUGCAGCAAUGCCGCGUGUGUGAAGAAGGCCUGCGGGUUGUAAAGCACUUUUACUAGGAAAGAAAA